rnacentral:pre_miRNA from 1 species
UAUAUUUUUCGUUCAUCCAUGGUUAUUUGGCGCCGUAUCGGUAAAGAUUGGUGAUAUAUAUAUAUAUAUAUAUAUAUAUAUAUAUAUAUCACCAAUCUUUACCGAUACGGCGCCAAAUAACCAUGGAUGAACGAAAAAUAUA